rnacentral:rRNA from 1 species
CGGUUGAUCCUGCCGGAGGCCAUUGCUAUUGGGAUCCGAUUUAGCCAUGCUAGUCGCACGAGUUCAGACUCGUGGCGAAUAGCUCAGUAACACGUGGCCAAACUACCCUUCGGAGUACCAUACCCUCGGGAAACUGAGGCUAAUAGUGCAUACCGCAGUCCACCUGGAAUGAGGACUGUGCCAAACGCUCCGGCGCCGAAGGAUGUGGCUGCGGCCGAUUAGGUAGACGGUGGGGUAACGGCCCACCGUGCCAAUAAUCGGUACGGGUCAUGAGAGUGAGAACCCGGAGACGGAAUCUGAGACAAGAUUCCGGGCCCUACGGGGCGCAGCAGGCGCGAAACCUUUACACUGCACGCCAGUGCGAUAAGGGGAUCCCAAGUGCGCAGGCAUAGAGCCUGCGCUUUUGUACACCGUAGGGAGGUGUACGAAUAAGGGCUGGGCAAGACCGGUGCCAGCCGCCGCGGUAAUACCGGCAGCCCGAGUGAUGGCCGAUCUUAUUGGGCCUAAAGCGUCCGUAGCUGGCCGCGCAAGUCCAUCGGAAAAUCCACCCGCUCAACGGGUGGGCGUCCGGUGGAAACUGCGUGGCUUGGGACCGGAAGGCGCGACGGGUACGUCCGGGGUAGGAGUGAAAUCCCGUAAUCCUGGACGGACCGCCGAUGGCGAAAGCACGUCGCGAGGACGGAUCCGACAGUGAGGGGCGAAAGCCAGGGUCUCGAACCGGAUUAGAUACCCGGGUAGUC